AAGAGGAGGAGGAAGAAGAUGGGGAUGACUUGCUGGCCAUGAUGAACUUUAUUUCCGUGGUCCGGGAGUUUGAGUGGCGCCCGAUGUCAACGAGCCGAGUCGGGUGAUGGAAUCACCAGGAGUCUCAACCGCGAGCUGAUGAAGAUUCGAUGGCGCUGCUGAGAAUGUUACCGAAAGUUAUUUACUCGAUGGACGCUCCUGCUGCUGCUGCUGUCCCUGCUACCGAUGACGACGACACGACGCUGAUGAUUAACGGAGGCCCGAUUCGAGUUAUCACACCGAUCAAGACGGGGGGCGCGACUCUGACAAUCUGCACGAUUUUGCCCGAGGAGAGAAAGAGAGAGAGACGAGGAGGCGGAGGGAGAAGACGGGGGUAGAUUUCGACUGAGACCACUACAAAGACAAAGAUCCCCCGUUUAGCCUUAACGGACUUUUUGGGGCAAGUGCUGCUAGCGAGACCACUACACACACAUGCAUACACAAGGCUCGCACACACACACACGCGCACUCUCACUUACUCUCGCACUCUCACUCAGACACCGCUGGGAGCCAAUUGCGCAGCUCAAUUGUAAACUCGCCGAUGAUCGGUGGGGCUGUCCUAAGCAAAUUAUACCCCCCCCCCCACUCCCAAAAACAACACACACAGCCAGGAUUCUU